UGCGUAUAUUAUAUUAUUAUGUUAUUUUUUUUAAAAUUCUGUGAAUCUGCGUUUUUUAUUUUAAAAUUCUGCAAUACUGUGUGAAUGUACAAAUUCUGUGAUCUAGUAGUAUUUGAUGUGUCUCCUUAAUCUAUGCUAAGUGGAAUUCGUUUUAGAAUUUCAGAUUAUUAGAAUUUGAUGUGAUUGGUUGUUGCUAAUAAUGCUAAGAACUUCACGUUGUUGAGUAUCUUUGUGGUGUUGCUUUUGUUUUGCCGCUGUUUCGCAUUUUGAAAGCGUAGCUGCUGCUAUUUGGAACUGGAUUUUAGGAGUCUGAGUAUGCUUCAUUUAGGGAGCUAUCCGUUUACUUCAUCUAUGUACUUUGAUGCAUGACACGUGUAAAAAAAUAAACUAAUGGCUGAGAUGAAAAAGUCAAAAUUAGUUUUUUUUUUUUGGUACAAAUUGCUCAAGUUUUUUUUUUAUAAUAACAAAAAGGAACGCGUUAUCCCUCUUCUUCUACCCCUGCAAGCCGCCACUACCAAUCAAUUCCAUAGAUUCAUGAUUUCCAAUUCUGUUCGCAAGAAUUCCCCCAUUUUAAUUCUCAUGGAUUGUUAUCGAAAAGCAUGAAAAAGGAUUGUUAUUAAAAAAUACAGGAAAACAGAGAUUUAUUUCUGCAUAAAUGGAGCAAGAUGUAUCCAAUAGGUAUCAUGGAGUGCUUUGCGAUAUCUGUACUAUCAAUUCCUCCUGAUGGGAAUGUAAGUCUCGUAUGUGGAAAGCUGAAUCUCAUAGACUUGGCAGGUUACCGUCCACUCGAUUGGGGUGAAGGGUUUGAUGUAUUGCAAGCAAAGGAAGGAUAUGAGAUUUAGUGUAGCAAUCACAUGUGUGUUUCUUUAUUUUUCCCUUUUUAAUUUCAGCCGUUGGAUAUUAUGUUGCCACAUGUCAAACAUUUAGGAAGGUAAAUGGAGCAUACCCGGACUCGGAUUUUAGUGUGUGCAUCUAGUGUGUUCUGUUAGCAUUGCAGUUUUUGGCUUCGGCUUGUUCUUAUUUUUGGCAGCAUGAUUGGGUUCAGUGUGUGCCAUUGUUGCAAUGUGAAUGUUUCCAUAUCCCCCCUAGUUUAAGUUUCAGAUCUAGUAGAAUUUGAUGUGAUUGGUUAUUACUAAUAAUUCUAACAAGUUUUAGUUACGUUCACGUGAUUUUUGUAUUUAAAGUUAGAAGUAUUUUAAAUUUAUUUGCUAUGCUUAAUGGGGUUACUUGCUUCUCUUUAGUAAUUAGUGAUUUAGCACAAAAGAACAAGGGCAAAAACGAAGCAUAGUUAGAAUGAUCCUGCACAUACUAAUAAAUUAUAAUUUGGAGAGAAAUUCAUUGUUAUCUUCAUUCAUCAUAAUUUACAUAAAGAGAAUAGAGGCCAAACUUUUUUGGAAGAGAAAGUUAAAUUACAACACCUCUACAAGCAUAUAAUCUAACUUAGAUUUAGGAACCCUUCAUCGUUGUCAGUGGAUCCUAGAGAAGAAGUAUCAAAGAAUGGAUUUUAAAACUUGUUCCACAGUCUGCUCUAAUUAAUUGGGACCCCAGAACUGAAGUACAUGACUUUUCUCUAAGAUCCCUCUGAUUGUUUUGCAUUCUUUAAUCUUUGUCUGUUAGAAGUAGAAACAAUUGCAGAAGAAGAGAAGUGAAAGUUUCUUUGCUUGAGAAAACAAUUUGAUAUUGUUGAUUUUGAACCGACUUUAGUGUAUGAUUCCAUCUGCAUAUUCCUAAACAAGUUGAAGAAUUUGAAAAAGCAUGAAGAACACUAGCCUUUGUCCACGUUUCGCUGCACCUGCCUCCUCAUCGGUCGCACCGGCCUCCUCCUCGGUCGCGCCUGCUUCUGCUGGUCUGCCUGCCACUGCUCCACAGAUUGAAAAAUCUGAAAAAAGGCAUGAAGAAUACUAGCUAUUGUUCACAAUUCGCUGCGCCAGCCUACUCCUCUGCUGCACCAGCCUCUGCUAAUGAGCCUGCCUCUAUUGCUGUACCUUCCAUUUUUACUGGACAGAUGAGAAUUGUACUGUUAGUUGUGAAAGUUUAUGCCUCUGCAGCUUCUACCGGGAGUUUUGGGAAUUGGCUUGAAAAAGAGUUCGGAAAGAUUGGGUAAAGAUGUGAAUCGUUUUAGAGUUUGUGAGGAUGUGUUUGAUGAUCCAAGAAAUAUUAUGAAUGAGUUGAAGAAAUUUGAGCUAAUUCAAGAAGUAUUUUGCGAAGAUGCAUAUUUUGUGGUUGCACUGAUGUUGAUCAUCUACCAUUUGCUAAAUAUUGAUUAGUGAUUUAUGUACAAUUCGUUAAAAUGUACUUGACAAUAUAUUUUUACUUUGUAGUUAUUUUAGUGCUAUUUGUGUAUAUGACAAUUUUAAUUUGAUACGAUUUCAAUUUUAUCACUCAAUUUUUUUU